rnacentral:piRNA from 1 species
CCAGGAAGAUAAAAGGGACAGCUC